rnacentral:misc_RNA from 1 species
GAUGAAGAACGUAGCGAAAUGCGAUAAGUUAUGUGAAUUGCAGAAUUCCGUGAAUCAUCGAAUCUUUGAACGCACAUUGCGCCCCCUGGUAUUCCGGGGGGCAUGCCUGUCCGAGCGUCAUUGCAACCUUCAAGCGCGGCUUGUGUGUUGGGUCUCGUCCCCCGUGGACGGGCCCGAAAGGCAGUGGCGGCGUCCCGACAUGGUGCCCGAGCGUAUGGGAAUCCUCUUCCGCUCGAAUCGGCCCAUGCGGCGCUGGUCGUAACCAAAUUUUUUACCGGUUGACCUCGGAUCAGGUAGGGAUACCCGCUGAACUUAAGCAUAUCAAUAAGCGGAGGA